CACAUAUGGUGCAACGAAAACAUCUUUGUAGAUGUAGGUGUAGGUGGGAUUUAUGGUUCUAUUACAUGGCCAAAAACACAAGCAGGAAAACAAGCAAAACUAAAAUGUACCGCAGGAAACAAGAAAGGAUGGAUGUACAGGAAAUGCUCCUCAAGCGGUAGUUAAGAGCUGCCUGAUUUCAGUGAAUGUCAAAAUGCUACGAAGGUGAAUACACCUAGACCUAAGAAUGCCAGCCCAAAAGCCAAAGUCCAGCAAAUAAAACAMAACAUUAAAUCUGGUUCACCGAAAGGAAAAACUAAAAAGGACGUGGAUAAAGCUGUCAACGUUCUUGAAGAUGUUGCAAAGAUAAAAGACAAACUUAAUGAGACUGCUAUUGAUAUCAUUGAAACUAUCGACACCAUUAUGGACGURAACGAAACGAUACUUGCAGAAAGUACGAAUGCUACCAGCAAGUAAGUAGACUUUGCUUCAAUUACAGGCUAAUAGUAUGACUUCAAAACUUUGACUUUGGAUGGKUCCAAAUGUGGAAAGUCAAUUGUAAUCAAUAAGAAAUUGUACAAAUAUAUUUGUAGGGUSGUAAAGAUUUUGGAGCUGAUUGCAGAGAACAUYCCAACAAACRAGAAAACUAAGACUACGACACUUAACACCACUAACCUGCUAUUACAAGCUGUAGAUGUAACCAGGAAAUCUUUUCCAGGAAUGUCGUUUGGUGUCUCUYCACAAGGSACCRUYUCUGAAAACUCUGCAAAGGCAAAAACCUCAGUCAAACUCCCAAACUCUYUGCUUAGUAAUGCACGAACAGAAUCUGUUCGCAUUGGGUUCAUUCGCUAUGGAAACAACAAACUUUUUCAAGAAUCAGACAAGCAAAGCGGUUCGAGAGUUAUUACAAGUAAACAAGUGUUAUCAAGCAGUGUGUACAACGUAUCAAYAUCAAACCUGACCGAUCCAGUUGUGCUGAGAUUCCCAGCGCAAUCAGGAACCACAAUUGGAAACAAAUCGUGUGUAUUUUGGAUGGAGCAGGCUCGUCAGUGGUCAAGCGCUGGWUGUUCCUUGUGUUCUCACCAGUCCACCAAAGACAGCGUGGAGUGUUGCUGUAAUCAUCUCACAAGCUUUGCUGUCC